GGACCCGCACAAGUAGUGGAGCAUGUGGUUUAAUUCGAAGAUACGCGCAGAACCUUACCAACACUUGACAUGUUCGUCGCGACUUUAAGAGAUUAAAGUUUUCGGUUCGGCCGGACGAAACACAGGUGCUGCAUGGCUGUCGUCAGCUCGUGUCGUGAGAUGUUGGGUUAAGUCCCGCAACGAGCGCAACCCUCACUUUUAGUUGCCAUCAUUAAGUUGGGCACUCUGAAAGAACUGCCAGUGAUAAGCUGGAGGAAGGUGGGGAUGACGUCAAGUCCUCAUGGCCCUUACGUGUUGGGCUACACACGUGCUACAAUGGUAUCUACAACAGGAAGCAAGACUGCGAAGUUAAGCAAAUCCCUAAAAGAUACCUCAGUUCGGAUUGUACUCUGCAACUCGAGUACAUGAAGUUGGAAUCGCUAGUAAUCG
rnacentral:rRNA from 1 species